rnacentral:rRNA from 1 species
UACGUAGGGGGCGAGCGUUGUCCGGAUUUACUGGGCGUAAAGGGUGAGUAGGCGGUUAUAUAUGUCAGGUGUAAAAAGCUAUGGCUUAACCAUAGUAAGCACUUGAAACUGUAUGACUUGAGUGCAGGAGAGGUAAGCGGAAUUCCUAGUGUAGCGGUGAAAUGCGUAGAUAUUAGGAGGAACACCGGUGGCGAAGGCGGCUUACUGGACUGUAACUGACGCUGAGUCACGAAAGCGUGGGUAGCAAACAGGAUUAGAUACCCUAGUAGUCC